rnacentral:rRNA from 1 species
ACAAUGAAGAGUUUGAUCCUGGCUCAGGAUGAACGCUAGCUACAGGCUUAACACAUGCAAGUCGAGGGGCAUCAGGAAGAAAGCUUGCUUUCUUUGCUGGCGACCGGCGCACGGGUGAGUAACACGUAUCCAACCUGCCCUUUACUCGGGGAUAGCCUUUCGAAAGAAAGAUUAAUACC